rnacentral:rRNA from 1 species
AGGGUUUGAUCAUGGCUCAGAAUCAACGCUGGCGGCGUGCCUCAGACAUGCAAGUCGAACGCGAAAGUCCCCUUCGGGGGAUAAGUAGAGUGGCGCACGGGUGAGUAACACGUAGGUAAUCUACCUUCGGGUGGGGAAUAACCCAGGGAAACUUGGGCUAACACCGCAUAAUGCAGCGGCACCACAUGGUGACAGUUGUUAAAGCGGGGGAUUUUAGGACCUCGCGCCUGAAGAGGAGCCUGCGGCAGAUUAGCUAGUUGGUAAGGUAACGGCUUACCAAGGCGACGAUCUGUAACCGGCCUGAGAGGGCGGUCGGUCACACUGACACUGACAUACGGGUCAGACUCCUACGGGAGGCAGCAGUCGGGAAUUUUGGGCAAUGGGCGAAAGCCUGACCCAGCAACGCCGCGUGAAGGAUGAAAUCCCUCGGGAUGUAAACUUCGCAAGAUUGGGAAGAAUUAGUAGGGGUUAAUACCCCCUAUGAUGACGGUACCUUUUGUAAGCUCCGGCUAACUCCGUGCCAGCAGCCGCGGUAAUACGGGGGGAGCAAGCGUUGUUCGGAUUUACUGGGCGUAAAGGGCGCGUAGGCGGUCAGCACAAGUCAGUUGUGAAAUCUCCGGGCUUAACUCGGAAAGGUCAACUGAUACUGUGCGACUAGAGUGCAGAAGGGGCAACUGGAAUUCUCGGUGUAGCGGUGAAAUGCGUAGAUAUCGAGAGGAACACCUGCGGCGAAGGCGGGUUGCUGGGCUGACACUGACGCUGAGGCGCGAAAGCCAGGGGAGCGAACGGGAUUAGAUACCCCGGUAGUCCUGGCCUUAAACGAUGGAUGCUUGGUGUCUGGAGUUAUAUAGUCUCCGGGUGCCGCAGCUAACGCGUUAAGCAUCCCGCCUGGGGAGUACGGUCG